rnacentral:rRNA from 1 species
UGGGGAAUAUUGCACAAUGGGGGAAACCCUGAUGCAGCGACGCCGCGUGAGUGAAGAAGUAUUUCGGUAUGUAAAGCCCUAUCAGCAGGGAAGAAGAAGACGGUACCUGACUAAGAAGCCCCGGCUAACUACGUGCCAGCAGCCGCGGUAAUACGUAGGGGGCAAGCGUUAUCCGGAUUUACUGGGUGUAAAGGGAGCGUAGACGGUUGAUCAAGUCUGAUGUGAAAGCCCGGGGCUCAACCCCGGGACUGCAUUGGAAACUGAAUAGCUGGAGUGCAGGAGAGGUAAGUGGAAUUCCUAGUGUAGCGGUGAAAUGCGUAGAUAUUAGGAGGAACACCAGUGGCGAAGGCGGCUUACUGGACUGUAACUGACGUUGAGGCUCGAAAGCGUGGGGAGCAAACAGGAUUAGAUACCCUGGUAGU